CGCUGUGUGGUGUAAUGGUUUGAGUGUUGGACUAGAACUCUGAGAGACCAGGGUUGGAAUCCCUGUUCAGCCA